CAGCUGGUCAGGGUCGGUGCACUCGUGAGAACUGCAAGUACCUCCACCCUCCACCCCACUUAAAGUCACAGCUAGAAGUUAAUGGGAGAAACAAUCUGAUUCAACAGAAGACUGCCGCAGCCAUGUUCGCCCAGCACAUGCAACUCAUGCUGCAGAACGCUCAGAUGUCAUCUCUUGCGUCUUUUCCUAUGAAUCCAUCACUUGCAGCUAAUCCUGCCAUGGCUUUCAAUCCUUACAUGACUCAUCCUGGCAUGGGCCUGGUUCCUGCUGAGCUUUUACCAAAUGGUCCGGUUCUGAUUUCUGGAAACCCUCCUCUUGCACUGCCAGGAGUUCCUGGUCCAAAGCCAAUUCGUACAGAUAGACUGGAGGUUUGCCGUGAAUUUCAGCGUGGAAAUUGUACCCGUGGGGAGAGCGAGUGCCGCUAUGCUCACCCUACGGAUGUUUCCAUGAUUGAAGUCACUGAUAAUUCUGUGACAAUCUGCAUGGAUUACAUUAAAGGCCGAUGCUCCCGGGAGAAAUGCAAGUACUUUCAUCCUCCUCCCCACUUGCAGGCCAAACUCAGGGCAGCUCAUCACCAGAUGAACCAUUCUGCGGCCAACGCAAUGGCCCUGCCGCAUGGUGCACUUCAACUGAUACCAAAGAGGUCAGCCCUUGACAAGGCCAAUGGUGCCACUCCAGUCUUUAACCCCAGUGUUUUCCACUGCCAACAGGCUCUGGCUAACAUGCAGAUUCCACAGCAGGCUUUUAUCCCAACAGUGCCCAUGAUGCACGGUGCUACACCUUCCACCGUGUCUACAGCAACACCACCUGCCAGCAACGUUCCCUACGUUCCAACAACUACAGGCAACCAGUUGAAAUAUUGAGCAGCAGAGUUACAGAGUAUCCGAAUCUCUCAACAAGAAACUCCGUGUGGCCUUUCUAUAUGUAUUCUCGUAUGUCUUCUUGUACCAACACGACAAUAAGCAUGGUGCAGUCAAUAUACUCAAGUGCAUAUACCUGUUGACAAGUUCAAAUUUUAAAAAUCUGUGGGGAUGUUAAAGCAAAUAGAAAAUUAACCAGUAUGUGUUACCUUAUACGGAUUCAUUGUAUAUGAAUUAGCAUACAGAAUACAACCAUACAAGUUUGUCAUAUAUAUGAAUUAUCAGAUCCAUAUUACAUGAAUUUUCCAUCUGAUAUGAAUUACCAUAUUGAAUAUAACCGUAAGAUGUUGUGACUGCUUUCCAGUAAUGGUUUAUGGUAAAUGAAUUUCCACAGUGUACUGUAGGCAGGCUUACUGUAUACUCUUACUGUAUACUCUUACUGUAUACUCUUGGUGGAUAAAUUCUGUUUUGGAAGUGUUACCUUACUGUUUUGUUUACAAGAUAGUCUAUAGGAUUGAUGUAGAAUGUAACUGAUAUUUCCCACNCCAUUUUCCUCCAUUGGUAUAUUGUAUUAAAUUGGGUUCUGCUUAGCUCUUUCAUGCUAUAGUGUUCUCUUGUUUAUAUGUGAUAUUUGAUUUCAAUUAAAGCGUCAUAAGUGGUGAACAGAACUAUAUGUGACUGAAAAAUGUGACAGGUUCAUGGUAAUAUGCCCUCUUUAAAANAUUUCUGUAAGUUUCUGGAGGCGUACAUUUUAAAGGCCUCACUUCUGAAUGUGCACAAAAUCUGUUCAUAUAUAGAAUUUUACCUGUAGAUCUGACCUUGCAUAGUCAAUAAUAUACUAAAUUUUUAAAAGAGAAAAAACUUCCCUACAUGUGAUAGGAAAGUUCAAAUGUUAACCUCAAACCAUUCUUCUUAAAUAAUUUGAGAAUCAAUUGUUCACA